UCCUCAUGCAUCAGGCGCCCCAACCCCCUCAAUUUCUUCUUCCUUCACCGAGCCCUACCUCCAGCCGCCAUCAAACUGCACGUGCACCGCGUCGCUCCGUCGCCGUCAAUCACAAACUGUUCGUCCACGCUGCCAAAUGCCUUGGUGUCAGUAGCCACCGCGCCAAAUCGAAAGGAUUUCAGUCGUUCGUCCGCCCACGUUCGCGCUGCCGGAUCUGAUUCCGGUCUCCCACGCCGAGCCGCCCGCGCUCGUGUGCCGCCAGAUAUGCUCACGCCAAGCCACGUCGUCGGAUCUAAAGCCACGCCGUUGAUGCUCAGCCGCCCAGGUCGACUCAUGCACUCCCAGCCAGCCGUUCCGCUGCUUGCCGUUCACCGCUGACCGUCGAGUCGCCCGUCCCGUCAUCCAGCCCGAUCCGUCCAAUCUAGAUUUCAUCUCACCUCAAAUCCGCGUCGUCACGUCGGAUCUGCUGCCUAGCCAUCGGAUUUCUUCUGUCGCCGCCACCGUUGCUUGUGCCAGAAUCUUGGAGCCUUUGGAUUUGAGUGUUGGAAGAGUUUCAAGGUCGAAAGCGGAUCGUGCGACGUUGCAAAAGUUGUUUCGGGUUGGUCAAUCAAACUUUUGGUUGUGGAUUUGAUCUUGGACCAAGCCAUAACUUUGGGGAAUUAAUUCGAGAGUUUCUUUGUUGGAGAUUAAUUGCUUGGGUUAAUUUUGGAUUUAACUUUGAGAUAAGGGUAGAGAUGCACCAGCGAUGGACAAGCGGAAUUUGUGAUCGAGCCACUAGGAC